GUCACAAUAGCGCAGCGGUUAGCGCAAUCGUCCCUUUAACGAGAGGCUGGUGAGUUCGAAUCUCACCUUGUGACA